rnacentral:rRNA from 1 species
UACGUAGGUGGCAAGCGUUGUCCGGAAUUAUUGGGCGUAAAGCGCGCGCAGGCGGCCUCUUAAGUCUGAUGUGAAAGCCCCCGGCUCAACCGGGGAGGGCCAUUGGAAACUGGGAGGCUUGAGUAUAGGAGAGAAGAGUGGAAUUCCACGUGUAGCGGUGAAAUGCGUAGAGAUGUGGAGGAACACCAGAGGCGAAGGCGGCUCUUUGGCCUAUAACUGACGCUGAGACCCGAAAGCGUGGGGAGCAAACAGG